UGGUCUUUGAUGAAUAGCCCACUGCGCAAUCUGAAUUCUAUGAAACUGAAUGAUAGAAUUUGUGCUAAUCAAGGCAACUGAGACUA
rnacentral:snoRNA from 1 species